UACGUAGGGUGCGAGCGUUGUCCGGAAUUAUUGGGCGUAAAGGGCUCGUAGGCGGUUUGUCGCGUCGGGAGUGAAAACACACAGCUUAACUGUGUGCUUGCUUCCGAUACGGGCAGACUAGAGGUAUGCAGGGGAGAACGGAAUUCCUGGUGUAGCGGUGAAAUGCGCAGAUAUCAGGAGGAACACCGAUGGCGAAGGCAGGUCUCUGGGCAUUAACUGACGCUGAGGAGCGAAAGCAUGGGGAGCGAACAGG
rnacentral:rRNA from 1 species